GCAGCAAAUCAUUUAAAUAAUAAUAAAAAAAACAACGCGAUCAACCCACUCAAUUAGGGUUUCAUCUAGCAUGCUGCCGCCGUGUCCUCAUUAUUUUGGUGGCCCACGACAAUAGAGAUCUGGUAUGGAGCAUGUGCUGGCACUUGGCGUGAGGCGUACAGAGGCGAGCGUAGCAGUCGUACGGUGCUGGGGGUUACGGUGCAGUUUGGCUAGGGUUUCCCUUCCUGAAAUCAAAAAUUGGGUCGUUUGGGUGAUUAGGCCAUUUCUGUAUUUGGGCCUCUAGGUUCAUUGGGUUAGGAUUCUUAGGCUAUUCGGGUUAGGUUUAGUUCAGGCCUGAGAAUUUGUAAAUGGACUUUUAAAUUUGGACUGUUAUAA